ensembl:lncRNA
UAGAACAAUGCUGGAAUACACAGAGCAGUUGUUCUGUAGAUACACCCAUUGUCUCUGUAACUGAAGUUCCAAGCAGAGCACUGUCACAAGCAUAUUUAUGACAUAAUCCUCCUGGUCCACACACAGAGAGUACUAUGAACCUAUCGUAUACCUUGUUGUUCUUUUUUGGCAUUAACUUUGCUCUUAUUUCUCAAUUGAUAAAGGGGUUGAUGGUUUCCUGGCUAGACAUGGUAGAUGUCUGAAUCCUGUAAGACAACUGGAACCAAUUUAUCACUGGGCAGAAGCAUCUUCUACUAAUGGAAAUGGCAGAUGUCCAGCCUACCCUUCCAGGAAUGCUCUGGGCAUGGUUUGACACAGGAUACCUGCCAAGGAGUACCAAAAACAAGUCUCAGUGGAUCAGAAGCUCCUGAGAAGCUGAUGUCCUUAGAUUCCAUGUGUUCUUUCCCACAUCUGAUAUCAAUCAACAGAAGAAUGAACAGAAAGCCUAAGUGAAUGGCUAUACCAGCUCCCAUCUUUAACUUCUCACCCAGACUACUAUGCCUUUAUCAACUUUGAUUCUUCGUCUACUGAUAUACAAGCCAUGUCACAAACCCAUGAACAUCUGGAGCUUCAUGACCCCAGUAAGCCUGUGGCCCACAAUUCAGAGCUCUGCUUAGCUCUUUCUUGGGAGGGGGGAAGCUUCUGCCAGCCUUGUUUUAUUUUGCCGUUGGUUCAGGCUGAUGAUAGGCAA